ensembl:miRNA Mir8108 microRNA 8108
ACUCAUGCAUGUGUUCUCUACAUUCUGCCGCUUUUCCCCUGAGGCAUAUCCAGAUAAGACCCUUUAGGGAGGAGCGUAGUUACAGAAAGAAAUGUAGGCUCUUAUUUUG